GAAAGCAGCCCUAGAAAAAAGGCAAAAAGACAAAAAAAAAAAAAAAAAAAAGUUACCUCAAACUGCCUAAUUCUUCUAGGUCCUUAUCAGAGAUGGAUUCCAGUUCAAUUCUGAAGAAAACGAAUAACCUGAUAGAAGGCAGGGCUGCACACCUCUCAGGGAUUGCCAGACUCUGCUGACUGACAGCUUGAAACUUCUGCCUCAUUCAAACAACAACUCUCGCUAACCAAAGAAGUCACUUCUGGAUUGUGUGACACCCUAUUUAUUGUUUUGUUAUCCAGAGAUAACCAAGAACUUCGAUCCCACAAUAUCUGCCCCUUCUUUAUCCAUGAGUGAAAAAGAAGGAAAAGAGACAAGCAAGUUCAUGGUUAACUCCCUUUCCUCCUAACUACCUCCACUUUAAUAAGUGCUGAGACAGCUCUCUGUGGAUGGCAUGCUGCUGACCAGCCAACUGAACGGGGAAGUUCUCCCCUCACCAGAGCCCUGAGGCAGAUCCGCUUUUGAGAGGUCAGAGGUGGCAGCCUGAGAAAGUGACCGCCUCGCUGGACUGGCCUCAGCCCCAGCUUCUCCCCCCUGCACCUCUUCCCCACCGAGGAGCUGCAGGGCCAGACACUGAGACACAAGUAUUCUCUUCCACUGAGGACCUAGGCCACGUCCUCUGGCUGAGUCAGCCAUGAGGAGAGCUCCACGGGCAGCCACAGGACAAGACCAGCUCCAGCACAGCUGAUGGCCCCAACCACAGCAUAUCGAGUCUGCAACCUACACCACAGCUCACGGCAAUGCCACAUCCUUAACCCACUGAGCAAGGCCAGGGAUCCUCAUGGAUACUAGUCGGGUUUGUAAUGGCUGAGCCACGAUGGGAACUCCCUGUUGGUUUAUUUAAAUUUUUAUUCACUCCACCUCAACCCAAGUUUGAUUCUGAACAGUUUCUUUCUUGGAGUAUCAUUCUUGGCACACCAGGGUCACCACUCUCUCAGACCCUUGGUUCCUGGCUGGUCUGGAUGAACCCAAUGGGCUGGAAAGUGUUAAGAUAGUAGCUAUAUGUGAAGGAGGAAAACUGCCUCUACUCUGGUCAGGAUGCUGGUGGGGAGCUGGGCCAUGACCCACAGCUUGGCUCCAUGACGGACUGACUAACCCUCAGUGGAGCCCUCUGAAGACACUCAAUGGUGACGCGUGGACUCCUGGUUCUGUGGCAUCAUGCGUCUCCAUGUUUGCAUUUGUUUUAAAAAAAAAAAAAAAGCACGGGGUGGGGUGGGGGGAUGUGCUCUUUUAAACUUACUCCUGGAUUUAUCUGGUGAUAAAAAUCACCGAUCAGCUAAACACAGAUGCAGAGAGACAGGUGUGGUUUAUGGAGUUUCUAAUCAAGAGUUCAACUGUAUGAAUUUGGAAAAGUAGUCCAAAAUGAGCAAAUGCACCCAACAAAGGGGUAGUUCGAUUGCGGUUAAAUUUUAUAAGUUUAAGAGAGUCUUAAAAUAAGAAGGGGUAAUUUCAGAAAGUAUUUACAUCACUAGGAUUCUGGGUAAUUUUAUAACUUUAUUUAAUGACCCUGGCUAGAAUGCUAAUAAGCCAUAUAUUCUGUAAAUUA